GUAAGCGCGUGCAUUGCUACUUCGUUGUUAAUACAUGUACCAGGAUAUCUAUGGUUAAUACAUUUGAAAACUGUAAUUCCAUUUUUUCCUCACCCAGAUUAUGAUUUAAAAUUAAUCUGGGAGAUUCAAUUAGUUUACUCUCUGAAGUACGGCCAACGCUGAAAGGAAUAUAAGACAGAAUGAUUGAGACUACACUGACAAUAAGCCAUUCAUAGCCUUCAUAAACCGUCCCAUAUUUUAACCCAAGUAGAAAUAAGAAUAGACUAAUAAUAUUGACUUGUAGUUUGCACAGCGGCAACAGACCUUGGUGGAAAUAGACGUAUCUUCUUGCAGUCACAUAAUGGAAAUUUGAUGCUAGAUAAAUGAACACAUCGCAAUGGAUGUUGCCCGCCUGACCAAAUGUCUACCAAGACCAAUUGCAUUUUCUAUUGCAACAGUUUUUGUGGUUACUAUGAAUGCUGUUGUAUUCACGAUAAGAACCAUUUCCCCAAUACUCUAUGUAAUUUUAAAGCUUGUUCGUCUUCUGUCAGGUGGUAAUGAAAAAACUGUUAAAAAGGUGGAAUUCGUAUUUAUGACGUUUGGAAAAGUAGAUUGCAUUAAAGGGAUGCUUCGAGCUUUGUAUCAUGCAAUUUAUGAUAAGAUUGAAAUUGGCGGGAAAGUUCCUGACACGUGUGUCAUUUCUUUAGACGGAAAAUCUUUACGUUUGUUGGAUUUUAUGGAACCAUCACGAUUACUAGUUAUAGCAUUUGGCAGCUGUACUUGACCAGGGCUUGUGAAGAAAAUGGAAGAGCUCAACUCUGCUUUUCAAGAGUUUGGAGCCUCUGUUAACUUCCUUCUCGUGUAUAUACAAGAAGCUCAUGCCGCCGAUGGAUGGGUUAUUCCUGGCAAUGACUUCAGUUAUGAACAACAUAAAGAUAUCAAAGACAGAAUACAAGCUGCUAAAGAAUAUAAAGAACAUUACAAUCUUCAGUUCCCGGUUGUUGUCGAUGGCAUGAAUAAUGAAUCGACCAAAGCUUUCGAUGCAAAUCCUUUCAGAAUACUCAUGGUUAAAAAUGGAACAUUUCGUUUUGCAAGUAUCUUCAAUCCACCGAAAAAUGAUUACAUUAUUUCUGAUGAAAUUAGAAAGUUGAUGACAUAAUGGAAUUCUGGAUAGAUUCCGCGUUUUAUAUUAUUUUAUCUAUUAUUUGUUAUUCUAUAUACUUCUUCAAACACGAUGACGUGGGAGCAAAAUGGAAGAGUGGGGAUGUAUUUUUACAACAGACAUAAUUAGUACUAUUUUAGUACUAUUUAGUAGGGUUAGGGUGCAAGCAGUUCAGCACCCACGGGAAUACUUGGCUAUUCUAUAGAUAUGGGAAAAACGAAAUGGCGUGGGAGCAAAACGGAAGAGUGGGGAUGUAUUUUUACAACAGACAUAAUUAGUACUAUUUUAGUACUAUUUAGGGGGGUUAGGGUGCAAGCAGUUCAGCACCCACGGGAAUACAUGGCUAUUCUAUAGAUAUGGGGAAAUGAAAUUGGGUUUAACUUCCUAUACUGUUCUGCCCCGAUUGGGAUAAGCAAGACGGGCAUACGCCAUACAGUGUGCUAUGGGGGACAUUUUACCCGGACAGCGGCGCUACGGCCUACUCUUAUAUACUUAUAUAAAAUUCCAAGGGGAUCUUUUACGUGCACGCCACCAGAACGACUAUACGUUGUUCCUUUGCCCACUGUCCUGCACCACUGACAAGGGGGAACCACGCCGGAAAAUCUCGAUAAACACGGAACCUCCAGGUUAGCGAAACGUCUUACUUACUGAGUCACCGCGGCUACUAUAGAUAUGUUACAUAUAUAUUGUAAAAGACUUUAUGAUUAAAUCGUUGUAAACGCUAAUUAAUCAAUGGUUUAGGAUGAUGUGUCUUUAUCAAUAUAUUAUAGAAUAGGGCCUAAUAUCUCAUUAUAUAUUUGUUGUUUAUAAGUAUUCUCAUUAUUUAAGAAAGGAUUCUUAUUAUGUAAAAUGAUCUUUUAUGCUUUUGAAAAAAACAAAAAAACAAUCUCAUUAUUUUUUAUUAUCUGCCUGUAUUAAAAUUCUGUAUUUCUAA